GUCAAUGGUGGCCCAGGCGGGGGCUCCGAAAGGAGCGCCGGUUUCCAAGAAGUCCGGUAACGCUAACUCCGUCUGGGCUACCACCCAA
rnacentral:antisense_RNA from 13 species